UCAGUCGACUCCGUACGGGAGGCAGCAGUGGGGAAUAUUGCACAAUGGGGGAAACCCCUGAUGCAGCCAUGCCGCGUGUGUGAUGAAGGCCUUAGGGGUCGUAAAGCUCUUUCGCCUGUGAUGAUAAAUGACAGUAGCAGGUAAAGAAACCCCGGCUAACUCCGUGCCAGCAGCCGCGGUAAUACGGAGGGGGUUAGCGUUGUUCGGAAUUACUGGGCGUAAAGCGCGCGUAGGCGGAUUAGUCAGUUAGAGGUGAAAUCCCCAGGGCUCAACCCCUGGAACUGCCUUUAAUACUGCUAGUCUUGAGUUCGAGAGAGGUGAGUGGAAUUCCGAGUGUAGAGGUGAAAUUCGUAGAUAUUCGGAGGAACACCAGUGGCGAAGGCGGCUCACUGGCUCGAUACUGACGCUGAGGUGCGAAAGUGUGGGGAGCAAACAGGAUUAGAUACCCUGGUAG
rnacentral:rRNA from 1 species